rnacentral:rRNA from 1 species
GGGACGAACGCUGGCGGCGCGCCUAACACAUGCAAGUCGAGCGAGAACCGGGGCUUCGGUCCCGGGGACAGCGGCGAACGGGUGCGUAACACGUGAGCAACCUGCCCCGAAGACCGGGACAACCCGAGGAAACUCGGACUAAUACCGGAUGCCCUCACCGGGCCGCAUGGUCUGGUGAGGAAAUGGAUUCCGCUUUGGGAUGGGCUCGCGGUCUAUCAGCUUGUUGGUGGGGUAACGGCCUACCAAGGCGACGACGGAUAGCUGGUCUGAGAGGACGAUCAGCCACACUGGGACUGAGACACGGCCCAGACUCCUACGGGAGGCAGCAGUGGGGAAUCUUGCGCAAUGGGGGAAACCCUGACGCAGCGACGCCGCGUGCGGGAUGAAGGCCUUCGGGUUGUAAACCGCUUUCAGCAGGGACGAAAUUGACGGUACCUGCAGAAGAAGGCCCGGCCAACUACGUGCCAGCAGCCGC